UUUGUGAAAGAUUUAAUCAUUGAUAAAGUUGUGACAACAAGUUUUCGUUGCUCAAAAUUUGGAUUGGCACACAAUAAAAGAACACAGUUUGGAUGGGCAAAAAUGAAUAUUUGUUUAAGCAGACCCUGCCGCAAGGGAUUUGCUUUUCAUCUCAAACAUCCAUUUCAAACUGACUAUUCUGGAGCAUUCAGCUACAGUACGACAAAUCAAAUUU